rnacentral:rRNA from 1 species
UACGGGGGGAGCAAGCGUUGUUCGGAUUUACUGGGCGUAAAGAGCUCGUAGGUGGUUUGUCGCGUUGUUCGUGAAAACUCACAGCUCAACUGUGGGCGUGCGGGCGAUACGGGCAGACUGGAGUACUGCAGGGGAGACUGGAAUUCCUGGUGUAGCGGUGGAAUGCGCAGAUAUCAGGAGGAACACCGGUGGCGAAGGCGGGUCUCUGGGCAGUAACUGACGCUGAGGAGCGAAAGCGUGGGGAGCGAACAGG